AACGCACCUUGCGCUCCUUGGUAUUCCGAGGAGCAUGCCUGUUUGAGUGUCAUGAAAUCUUCAACCUAUAAGCUUUUGUGGUUUGUAGGCUUGGACUUGGAGGCUUGUCGGCCUUGAUCGGUCGGCUCCUCUUAAAUGCAUUAGCUUGAUUCCUUGCGGAUCGGCUCUCGGUGUGAUAAUAUCUACGCCGCGACCGUGAAGCGUUUGGCGAGCUUCUAACCGUCUCACUUGAAAGACAACUUUAUGACCUCUGACCUCAAAUCAGGUAGGACUACCCGCUGAACUUAA
rnacentral:misc_RNA from 1 species